GAAACCUCUUCUUUGAAUAACUGUCUUCAUUUGAUCCUUUGACACAGGAACUGUCUUGCUCCUUUGGAAAAAAUUAUUUGGCUUACUUGUCGGUCCAGAGAACGGUUUUCUACCCUCUUGUUGCACAGUGUGGUAUUGGUUGCACAGAAGGGUUGACCUGGGAGCACCAGCGCCUUUGCCUGACGCACAACCAGUGCGAGGAAAUCCUCCAGAGCAUGAAGAGCGGGCUGAGGCAGGCGGAGAACCAACAUCAACUAGGCACCUACCAGAAUUGGCUGGAUGCCAGGUCUCUGCAGAACAGCAGCCACCCGCUGGCCGUGGAAUUCCAGGCCUUCACGUCCUGCUUCUCAAAGACCUGGUCGUGUUCCUGAAGCCAAAGGGGCAGUGGCUGCGGCUUAAAUUGCUUGGGAAGGAGAGCUCCCCCUUAAGCCCCGCUGUUCCUCUCAAGACCCUCCUUGUCCACCCCGUGGCCAAAAGGUGGAGUGGCCAAGCAUGCAGAACAUCAUGGACCUCAUGGGGCAGAUCUCAAGGAAUCUCAAGAGGCUGAAGGUCACUUCUCUUAGGACUUCCCAGUCCAUCACUCUAUGGCAUUCUAGUUAAACUUUAUUUUGCUGCAUAUCCUUUUAUUCCAUUUGUUCCCCAUUUGUUCCCAUAUGUUUCUCUCACUGUUGUUAACUGCUGCUCAUACAAUUAUUCCUACUUGUAAGUUAAUUUGAGUGUUAUAUCUCUUUAAAUAUUCUCCAGAGUUUUUCCACUCGUCUCUUACCUGUGUCUCAUCUUGGUUUCUUCUCUUCACAGUCAUAUUUGCUAACUCUGUGUAUUCUACCAGUUUGUUCUGCCAUAUUUUGUGCUUUUAUGUUGCAUUUUUAUGUUGUGAACGCCCUAAAGUCU